rnacentral:rRNA from 1 species
UCUACGGGAGGCAGCAGUGAGGAAUAUUGGUCAAUGGCCGGAAGGCUGAACCAGCCAUGCCGCGUGAAGGUCAGUGCCCUAUGGGCGUUAAACUUCUUUUGUGCGGGAGCAAUAAUGGUCACGUGUGGCUAGACGAGAGUACCGUACGAAUAAGCAUCGGCGAACUCCGUGCCAGCAGCCGCGGUAAUGCGGGGGAUGCAAGCGUUAUCCGGAUUUAUCGGGUUUAAAGGGUGCGUAGGCUGUGAGUUAAGUCAGCGGUGAAAUGCCCCCGCUCAACGGGGUGAAGUGCAAUUGAUACUGCCUUGCUGGAAUGCGGAUGCGGUGGGAGGAAUGUGUGGUGUAGCGGUGAAAUGCAUAGAUAUCACACAGAACACCGAUUGCGAAGGCAUCUCACGAAUCCGCGAUUGACGCUGAUGCACGAAAGCGUGGGUAUCAAACAGGAUUAGAUACCCUGGUAGUC